GGAGGGAUGGCCGAGUGGUUGAAGGCGGCGGUCUUGAAAACCGUUGACCCCGAGAGGGGUCCGGGGGUUCAAAUCCCUCUCCCUCCGCCA
rnacentral:tRNA from 1 species